rnacentral:misc_RNA from 1 species
GAUGAAGAACGUAGCGAAAUGCGAUAAGUAGUGUGAAUUGCAGAAUUCAGUGAAUCAUCGAAUCUUGAACGCACAUUGCGCCCCUUGGUAUUCCAUGGGGCAUGCCUGUUCGAGCGUCAUUUGUACCCUCCAGCCCUGCUGGGUAUUGGGCGUUUUGUUCCGCUACGCGCGUGAACUCGCCUCAAAUGCAUUGGCAGCCCGCCGUCCCGUGUGGGAGCGCAGCACAUUUUGCGCUCUCCGCUGCUGACGGUGGCAUCCACAAGUCUACCAUUUUACGCUUGACCUCGGAUCAGGUAGGGAUACCCGCUGAACUUAAGCAUAUCAAUAAGCGGAGGA